GCAUUAAUGGGGUAGUGGUAACCUGGGUCGUUGCCAAUACGACUCGACCCGCCGGGGGUUCGAUUCCCUCUUAAUGCA
rnacentral:tRNA from 1 species